GACGAACGCUGGCGGCGUGCUUAACACAUGCAAGUCGAACGGACGAGUGAGAUAAGUUUACUUAACUCACAAGUUAGUGGCGGACGGGUGAGUAACACGUGGAUAAUCUACCUGCAACACCGGGAUAACGCUGUGAAAACGGUGCUAAUACCGGAUACGUUCCCUUGUGCGCAUGUAUGAGGGAAGAAAGCUCAGGCGGUUGCAGAUGAGUCCGCGGCUGAUUAGCUAGUUGGUGAGGUAAAGGCUCACCAAGGCGAUGAUCAGUAGCCGGCCUGAGAGGGUGAACGGCCACACUGGGACUGAGACACGGCCCAGACUCCUACGGGAGGCAGCAGUGGGGAAUCUUCCGCAAUGGGCGCAAGCCUGACGGAGCAACGCCGCGUGGGUGAAGAAGGCCUCGGUGUAAGCCUGUCUUAUGGAGAAGUCAGUGACGGUACCGAUAGGAGGAAGCCACGGCUAACUACGUGCCACGCAGCCGCGGUAAGAGUAGUAA
rnacentral:rRNA from 1 species